rnacentral:lncRNA from 1 species
GUUACAUUUUAGUAGAGUGAAAGUGGCGUUUUGGACUUUGUACUUGGGUCCCCUCCUGCCAUAUCUGGGAGAAGAUCUUCAGUCACAAUAAAUGGAAAAUGCAGCUUUGGACCUCCGACAGUUUUGGCUGCUAUCCAGUUCAUAGUCGUGAGUGCCUCUGGUUGUGCUGUGUGGGAUGCCACCUCAGCACGGCUUGAUGAGUGGUGCCAUGUUGCACCCAGGAUCCGAACUGGCGAAACCCUGGGCCGCUGAAACGGAGUGCGUGAACUUAACCACUCGUCCAGGGGGCCGGCCCCAGAGCGCAGCCCUGUCUUCAAACUGGAAGGAAGCCCAAUGUACAAAAUCCACACACCUGGGCUCUUUGGCUCAAGUAAGAGCAGCAGGAGCCCCUCACGUCCCAGAGCCGCUCAAGAAGCCCCCAGGAGCACGGUGCGAAGACCCCUCCUUUGGGCCAAGGUCUAGGGGCUUAAGGUCAUGUUAGCAUUUUUGUGCCUAGUGGUGGAGGGAAGAUUCAAGGGUGAUGAUAAAGCAUGGAGAUCUUCUGGAAGACUGGUUAGGGCCUGAGUUAGAGAAAUGAAGCUUGGGGUGAAAAGGAGAUGAAUGAACUGAGGAGUAUUUCAGGUUGAAAAUCAGUGAUAUUUGUUGAUUGAAUGCUGUGCGUGAGGGAGUAGGGUGGCUUGUGGGAACCAUGACAGGAGCUAACAUUUAUUGAGAUGGCACAUAUGCUCUACACUUUACAUUAUCACAGUGACUCCAGGAGGUGUGUACUCUUUCACCCCCAUUUUAAAGAUGAGAAAACUGAGCCGUGGAGUUCCGUAAAUAGUUGAGCUGGAUUCCAACCCAGGCAGUCACGCUCCAGCGCCUGCACUCAACUAUCUCUCGUAAUGUUGGUGACUGACCCUCGGAUAGAUAGUGGUCAGUGGUCAGCAGCAUUUGAAAGUCCAGAAGUGUCAUUGCUCUGCUGCUAAUCUGCUUGUGGCUUUGGACAAAGCAGUAACCUUGUAGUUUCUCAUCUAUAAAAUGGGGACAAUAAUCACCUAUGCUACUGAACUCAUGUGGUUUGAGAAGUUAUAAAGGACUUUUAUUAUUGCCCAAAUUCAAAGUCUAUCCUGCAGAUAAAUUCUACAUUUUUCAUAUAUUACUGCAAUAAAUUCAGGAAGCUAUCUGAAAAUUUCAGUUCAUUUGAAAUAUUUUAAGGUACCUUCCCCUAGCUUUUUAACUGGCUUGCUGAAAUUGUGUUAUCCAAGUAAUGACAUCUGAUUAAGCAAGCUUGACAUAUUGAGAGAUGAUUAUGGGGAACAAUUAUCAAUGUUAAUUACCUUUGCUAUAGGAUACAACAUAAAGCCCAGAUUCAUUCAUUAGUUUUCAUUAUUUAUCUGUUUGUUUGCUAUUCAUUUAUUUAACAAAUAUUCCUUGAGCGUCUACGAGGUGCCAAGCAUCAUAGUAAGUGCUAGUGAUGCCCUGGUGAUGAGAGUGGCCGAUGGCUGCCCUAUGGCCCUCCAUCAAGAAGAG